rnacentral:misc_RNA from 1 species
UUCCAGUAGGAUUUUAUACAAGAUCAGGUCUGGCCGUCUCCGCAGUGCAGCGGCGCAGGACGCUACUAACGCCAAUUGGCAACUCGCAAAUUAUCGGGUGGUAUACUUAGUGCUCACGACAGCAAUGGGUUCUCUACCCAACGACGAAAAAGGAAUUAUCGAAUACGAAAUUUGAAUUUAAUUUACGAUUAUUUUUUUUAAUAAUCGACGUGCUGUGGGUCGUUUCUUAGUGCAGUGAAUGUGUGCCAAAACCUUUGAGGUCAGUGUUGUGAACGAACAAGCAUCUAGCAAAAAAUAUGACGGAAUUUUUUGGAUCAUGGAGCAACAACGGCGAGGACGGCGACGAGGUGGAGGAGACGGUGGAGUCCGUAGAGACCAUCACCACAACCACCACCAAAACCCGCGUACCAAAAUCCUCAUCUACGAAGACCACUACGAUGACGACCCCGGCCAAGCUGUACGGACGGGAGUUGUCGACAUACGAUGAGGUGGACGUGGACGAACUGCUGUCCAAGCUAACGCAAGAGGAGCUCACCAUGCUCGCCAAGGAGGUUGAUCCAGAUGACAAUUUCCUGCCACCCUCGCAACGUAACAACUACGCGUGCGAGAAGGACCCCACGGGUCCGUUGAACCGCAAGAAACUGAUCGAGCACAUCAACAAGCAGGCGCUCGAGACCCCCGACCGGCCGGAGGUGAAACCCUACGUGCCCGGAGUCAUACGAGGCAAAAAGUGGAUCCCGCCGCCGCCGCCGGAGAAGGUGCGCGACGCGGAGGAGCAGAUCACCAUCGACCUCGGCGACGAGUACGAGCAGGCGCUCACCGGCGCCACGCAGGAGGAGAUCAUCGACCUCGCAGCUAUCCUCGGCUUCCACUCGAUGAUGAACCAGGACCAGUACCACGCGUCGCUGCUCAACAAGGGACAGCCGGUCGGCCUCGGUUGGGACGGCAUCACCAAAGCUACCAAACCAAAGGUUUAUCCAAUGGAUCCUCCCAACGACACAGACCCAGACGAGACCAUAAAGAGGGUACAAGAAAAUGACCCCACGUUGACUGAUCUCAAUUGGAAUAAUAUUAAGAACAUAAGCGACGAGAAGUUCGAGAAGCUGUUCUUGGGUCUGAAGACGAACACGCAGCUGGAGGUGGUGUCGCUGGUGAACGUGGGGCUCGGCGACCGCGGCGCGGCGGCGCUGGCGGCCGCGCUCGCGCGCAACAACACGCUGCGCUCGCUCAACGUCGAGACCAACUUCAUCUCGCCCGCCGGCGUCGUGCAGCUCGUCGCCGCGCUGCUGCACACCAGCGUCGAGGAGUUCCGCGCCUCCAACCAGCGAUCGCAAGUGUUGGGCAACAAGAUCGAGAUGGAGAUCACGCAGCUGGUGGAGCAGAACCCCACGCUGCUGCGGCUCGGCCUCCACCUCGAGUACAGCGACGCGCGGCACCGCGUCGCCUCGCAUCUGCAGCGGAACAUCGACAGAAAUUGUCGAGUGCUCAAGCGAGCUAGCGCGUCGCUGCGCCUGCGCCUGCCGCGCGGACCUCCUCCCGCCCUCGGCAUCGACUCCAGCUUCCUCAUGACGCCGCCCUGCGCCGAGGCACUCACGCCCCCUACCCCUGAACCGAGGCGACCAGUCAUCACCGAAAACGUCGAGAAUACAGUCGUCGUCGAAGCCAAAGAGCGGCCACAGGAGCCCCAGAACGGAGACGCCCCUCUAUUCCCUCGGGAGCGUGUGAUCCCGGUCGCGACUGAGUUAAGUCCGCCUGUGAACGGAGAACGAGAAGUGGAGCUGCGCUCCGGAGACCAUGUGGACAGAUUCGUGAAGGCGGAGAAACCCGAUAUUAACCCCAAUCCGCACUCCCGAGAGGGGAGCGUAGAACCGAAUGAUAAUAUAUAGAAAUGGCCGCAGAACAUCGUACGCCAGCAGCGCCGGAGCCAGAAUAGCGCUUAAAGCCUCGCCUCUCACGUGUGGUGGUCGCGUGCGUCGCCUGACGCAGUUCACCCGCAGCCGCAGCUACGUGGUGGGCUGGAUCCCCUGACGCUGCCUCCGCGCCCUCCCGCGGGACCUUGUGCUUGUGUGCCCUCAACCCUCCAGCCAGACCCUUCCUACCACUAUAAGCUUAGCUUACACCACAAUUUCAAUGUUUUUGGACGUUUAAAAUUAGAACAACCUGUAUACUGACUUUUCUACGCCGAGUUUUAAUGUUAGUAAAAAUGUUGCUUUACGCUUAAACAAAAUUAUGCGGUGCUGCUAGUAGUUAGUACGUUUGAAGGGCUCCUGAAGUUUUAAUAAAACUAUUUCGACGACACACAAUCACAAAGUACCGAACGGACAGUUAUAUGUGUGCCCGAGCGAUGAAUGUUGUAUGCAACAAGAAUUGUGAUUUUAUCACUCGAUCGAACUUGAAACGAUGACAACACUAGUAUGGUGGCAGGCCCAUCACUAGUCCAAUAAGUGCAGUGUAAAUCUCAUUUGAUAUGAAUUUUAAAUAACCAUAGACAAUGUUGAUAUUUCUUUUCAAUACUUCGCAUUCGAGCUAUUCGAAGAGAUUUUUUUUUCUAAAUUAGUUUUAAGUGUUUUUUUUUAAUUAUGCUUUGAAUAGAAAAUAUAUAAUCAUACUGCCGCUACUUGUUCUACAAGUAAAAUGACAAUUCUUGUCUAUGUGUGAGUGACGUACGUUUUACAAUUAAUUCUUACUAUAGUGUGCUAAUGAAAUUGUAUUAAUUUUUAUUAUUAUAUUGUAAUAUAUUUUAGAUGUGCACAUUCCAUUAAUGCGAAACAUGGUUCUCUUGUUUUGACGCUUAUAUAGUGCAAUAAUGACACUACAAAUAAAAUAUUUAUCUUUACUAACAUAUAUUGACUGAAUCAUAGAGAAAUUAUAUUUUGAUUUAAAAUUUCGAUAUUAAUUCUUAUUUGAUUGAAAAAUAACUUUUUUAUUAAUCAGUUUUUAUGAUUAAUCGAUAUAUUUUACAAGGGAAGAUAUGACCCGUGUGUAACGUAAGAGAAGCCAUGUUCUGCGUCAAUGGAGAGCAAAGUUAACUUUACAUUUUUCAAUAAAGCACUAGGUUUCGUUGGUGGUGUGUAGUCACGAUUCGUAUGCCUUCAGCGGUCAAAAUACUUUUGUACGUUUUUAUAGUCGUUGUUAGAUAAUAAUAGAGUAGGGAGUCAUACAGAUGCAGAUUAGCUUGCAAUACGCGCGACCUUCUGCUUUCUUGAGACAUAAAAUGCUUACGUUUAAAUUGUAACUUUAUGUAUAUUUGAUAGUGGAUCUACUGGGGAACUAAGUGUCCGUAAGAUUGUGAUAAAACAUCAUGUUUUUUCCAUUAUAAAAAUACAGCUCGACUUUUAGUUUCCAUAAGAGAGAUUAUUUGUAUAUGAAUUUAGAUUUUUUAAAGUGUAAUAUUCUUUUAUUGUGACGAUUUAUGAAAAAUAAAAUAUAAAUUAAUUAAUAUAAAACAUAAUUUUAAUUGUAGUUAUUUAUGUUGAUAUUAAAGUUCAGGAGCAUUUUGAUUCAACGAAAACCUUGACUAUUAGGGUCGCAGUUCUGUAGUUUGUGACAAAUGUAAAAAAAACUUAAUAAAGUACGUAAAACAUUGA